UUCCAGACUCCUACGGGAGGCAGCAGUGGGGAAUAUUGGGCAAUGGAGGCAACUCUGACCCAGCAACGCCGCGUGAACGAUGAAGGUCUUCGGAUUGUAAAGUUCUUUAAGUGGGGACGAAGAAAGUGACGGUACCGAAUGAAUAAGCCACGGCUAACUACGUGCCAGCAGCCGCGGUAAUACGUAGGUGGCAAGCGUUAUCCGGAUUUAUUGGGUGUAAAGGGCGUGUAGGCGGGAAUGCAAGUCAGAUGUGAAAACUCAGGGCGCAACCCUGAGCCUGCAUUUGAAACUGGAUGUCUUGGGUGCUGGAGAGGCAAUCGGAAUUCCGUGUGUAGCGGUGAAAUGCGUAGA
rnacentral:rRNA from 1 species